AUGGGGCCUUGGCUGGUGGACAGGCCUCCAGGAGGGCUGCUCCUGGUGACAGCAGGACAUCGUCUCCAGCACAAGUCCUCAGGGUGCUCCUGGACUCAGGGGCAAUGUGGCUCGCAGAGGGAAGACAAGGCCCAGAAGGACAUGGUGACUCACCUCAGGCUGCUGAAGUGCUUGGCAGGAAAACAUCCCAGAACUUCUGCCUCCUGCACCUACAACCCCCUUGGACAGUCCUGGAGCAUUCUCAUCUCCCAGGAAUGCAACAUCCUUGUUAGAAACACAAGAUGGGCAAUCAAUGCCUUUGCUGAAGAUGAAGACUGAGCAGUCACCUCCAUCCUUGACCCCAGGAAAGGGGCUCAGCUGCUUGGCAGAAGAAGGGAGCUGAAAGAACGAUGGAAAUCCCAGCCCAACGCCCUCAUCUCAUGGAAAGCAUGAGACAGAAUGACAUCCCACACCAUCACACGGGCUUCAUCCACAGCAGCCUGAAAGUGUGAAGGCUGAACGGCUGCAAGGUUUGGAGGUGAAGGUAUCUAGAGCAGAAAACAGUUGCGGGCAGACAAGGAGGUGAGGGCAAUGAACUGGGCAAGGACUUGGGGGAAAGGAGAGCAAAUCUGUUGAAAAUAAAGAAAUGAUUUUGUUAAAAAAAAAUUGAAAA
rnacentral:lncRNA from 1 species